rnacentral:misc_RNA from 1 species
GUGAAUCAUCAAAUUUUUGAAAGAAAAGGGAACUCUCCUCGGAGAGUAUGCCUGUUUGAGGGUCAGCCUAUAAAAAUCGACAUCGUUGCUGUUUCGCGGUGGCGUUCGUCGGAAAUUGGGUCCUCUUAAAUCCUUUUUGUUUAAGCGACUUAAAAUUUUCUUUUUGUUCCAUGAACGUUUCUAAGAUCUAUUUAUUUACACGUUUAAUGUAUCGACUUUUACUAUCCGUGACAAUCAUUCCAGAUCGCGUCCAUAAUCUUUCAUUAACUGACCUCAGACAGGUAAGACUACUCGCUGAA